rnacentral:rRNA from 1 species
GCUUAACGCGAAGAACCUUACCAAGGCUUGACAUACACGAGAACACCCUGGAAACAGGGGACUCUUUGGACACUCGUGAACAGGUGGUGCAUGGUUGUCGUCAGCUCGUGUCGUGAGAUGUUGGGUUAAGUCCCGCAACGAGCGCAACCCUCGUUCUAUGUUGCCAGCACGUAAUGGUGGGAACUCAUGGGAUACUGCCGGGGUCAACUCGGAGGAAGGUGGGGAUGACGUCAAAUCAUCAUGCCCCUUAUGUCUUGGGCUUCACGCAUGCUACAAUGGCCGGUACAAAGGGCUGCAAUACCGUGAGGUGGAGCGAAUCCCAAAAAGCCGGUCCCAGUUCGGAUUGAGGUCUGCAACUCGACCUCAUGAAGUCGGAGUCGCUAGUAAUCGCAGAUCAGCAACGCUGCGGUGAAUACGUUCCCGGGUCUUGUACACACCG